UGAGAGGAACACUAUUCGAAAUAAGAGGCCGACACCGUUUCGUUUUGACGUUUGUGCUUCCGCUGGGGGAGAGAAAAGAAAAAAACACAAAAACUGCUGGAAAAGGCAGCCGUCUGUUCGCAGGCAGGCGAAUAAAAAGUGAACCGCUGACAAAUACCGUUAUCCGGAUUAUCGUUGCAGCUUUUAUUGUGCCAAGUGCAGUGAUCGAGUGCAAGUUUUCGGCUAGUCGACAAACCCGGUGACAGAGACGGAAAUCAAGACUCAACCACCGAAAAAGAGUGAAACCGUAAUCGUGCUCGACCAACAUUGCACUCGAAAAGAACUGGAAUCUGGACGAUAGCAACCAGCAAGUUUCGAAACUAGCCGUGCAAUCGCGGGCUUGGAAACAUCAGCCCAGAAUCAACAGCAUCACGGAAACAACGAUCUACGAAAAGUAAGCCAUUGGAUUACGAAAAAGGUGGCCAGCUCAUUGGCGUCUCGCAAAUCACCAGUAAAAGGCCCCGAAGGGGCCUUUAUUGCCAUCCGGAACACUCCGAACAACGCGGAAACCCAUCGCCAGACAUAAGAGGCGGAAAGCCGGCGAGUGAACAACAGCCCAGGGCUGACAGCGAGCGCUAUCGUCCCACAAGAGCCAGGCAGAGGCGGCCCGGGAGGCACCACCGACUGAACGCGAUCGAGGAUCGGCAAAGAUUCGUCACUCGUUGCAGCGGGUGAAGAAAGCAUCAUCGAAGACGAGCGCGGCCAAAACUCCCUCGGAGGGUCCCCAUCCAGUAACCCGGUCGCACUGGACGGCCAGAGGGGUCCCCAGCAGAGGGAUUGGCGUGUGGAGCGAACGAGUGUCUAUUGUAGGCAAGGAUGUCGACGAGAGGCGUGCGUGGAGCGGCGAAAGGUAACAGACCGCAGAAAGUAUCGUCGCUGUAGGGGGACGCCCCGACGGUACCGUGAGUACGGAGAAGAAACCGUGAGUAAGAAAACUGAGGUGUUUUGUAAAGUAGGAAAAUAGAGAAAGAGGAGUGAAAGGGAAAGAAGAUAAGAUGACUAGGAGGUAGGAAGUAACAAAGGAAAAUGGGUGCAUUACCCUAAAUAUAUGUAUUAAAUUGAAGAUUUGUGGUUUUUGCUGUUUUGUUGGUGCU